rnacentral:rRNA from 1 species
UACGUAGGGUGCGAGCGUUGUCCGGAAUUAUUGGGCGUAAAGAGCUCGUAGGCGGUGUGUCACGUCGGCCGUGAAAACCUGGGGCUUAACUCUGGGCGUGCGGUCGAUACGGGCAUCACUAGAGUUCGGCAGGGGAGACUGGAAUUCCUGGUGUAGCGGUGAAAUGCGCAGAUAUCAGGAGGAACACCGGUGGCGAAGGCGGGUCUCUGGGCCGAUACUGACGCUG